AUUUGGCGACGCGUUCAGAGAACUUUUUAACCAAUAUAACAAAUCGAAAUAAAUUAAAAUUUAAUAAAAACCGGUAGCGGCUGAUAUUUGUUACCAAAUGAUAUAUGUUAACAAAGCGUUUGUGAAGUGAAAAGCGUGAUUCCAGUCUUCAACUUCGAAUCCAACCAAUAAUCGGGCGAACUUUCACUGAAGGCAGCGUUUAUAUAAUACAUUCAUACAUACACAAAUUUUUGUACCAGAAAUGAGCAGAAAGUCGGUGUUGAUAUAAACUCAAUCUAUCAACCACAGUACUGAAAAAAUAUACAUUUUUUCUACAACUAUUUGUAUAGAGCAAUACUAAAAGAAAUCUAAAAUUUGAAUUUAGCUUGAGUUAGUGUACAACUCUCAAAGAGUAUGUUCCAUCAGACAACUAGAACAACUACAACUGGAGUCAAACAAGUUAAAGAGCAAGCACAUCGAUAUAUUCCAAAUCACUCCAUUAGAGCAUAGUUAGAAUAUAUAUUAAAGAAAUUUAUUGACAACAACAA